rnacentral:lncRNA from 1 species
CCGGCGCCCGCCGAGGGCGAUGGGGCUGGGCUGAGGCGAGGCGACGGCGGCGACAGCAGCGGGCCCGGGCCCCGGCCCCCCGCGGUCCCUCAGCUGCUCGGGCCCAGAGGCCGCCGAGGAGACGGUGCAGCGGCGGCGGAUCUGACAGAAUCAUCCUUGGAUCUUGGUGUCUGGACAUAGGAGAAAAGGAAAUGUGUGGAGAAUAAGUGAUAGCGUGCCAGUAAAGGACCUGGGGUAAGACCGUGUUUGUCGGUAGGUUAUUCUUUCCACUCUUGGCUUGGUUUUGUACUCUGGUAAUGGCUUAUCUCACUACUCAACUGUUGUUUUGUUUUGUUUUCCCCUACUGAGAACCAGUGUUAAGGAUUGCUUUUGAUUACGUGGCAGCUUUUUUUUUUUUUUUAAGAUUUUAUUUAUUAGAGAGCACGAACAGGGGGAGGGACAGAGGGAGAGGGAGAAGCCGCAGGGAUCCUGAUUUGGAGCUCUGUGCCAGGACCCAAAAUCAUGACAUGAGCUGAAGGUAG